UACAGAGGUCUCAAGCGUUGUUCGGAUUCAUUGGGCGUAAAGGGUGCGUAGGCGGCGCGGUAAGUCGGGUGUGAAAUCUUGGAGCUUAACUCCGAAACUGCAUUCGAUACUGCCGUGCUUGAGGACUGGAGAGGAGACUGGAAUUUACGGUGUAGCGGUGAAAUGCGUAGAUAUCGUAAGGAAGACCAGUGGCGAAGGCGGGUCUCUGGACUAUUUCUGACACUGAUGAACGAAAGCCAGGGGAGCAAACGGG
rnacentral:rRNA from 1 species